UGCGGCUGGAUCCCCUCCUUUAGAGACUAAAGACAGCCAAUUGCUCGUCGGACGUCCGCACAAGUGACCUGCACUCAGAGUUCCUCGCCGCCACGGGGUGGCGACGGAGCCGUCCCGUUUCGAUGGGGCUUUAGCUCAGCUGGGAGAGCACCUGCUUUGCAAGCAGGGGGUCGUCGGUUCGAUCCCGACAAGCUCCACCACCAGCCAGUCAGUACAUUGGGUCUGUAGCUCAGGUGGUUAGAGCGCACCCCUGAUAAGGGUGAGGCCGGUGGUUCGAGUCCUCCCAGACCCACCACCCUGACGAGAUGAGCGGCACAACUCUGAAUUGCGCACACACAUAAAGAUUUGAAACAUCGAGGGCGUUGAGGCCUGCGGUGUGUUCUUUGAAAAACUGGAAUGUAGCGAGCGUUUUGAGACGGAAUGUCCAGACGUGUCGUAGAGGCUAAGGCGAGUGUCGAGAGACACUUUAUUAAUUGAGUCGUUAUAUUCGAGUCCAGGCUUUGUACCCCUGGACCCAGAUGACUCCGAGGCGACUUGGGGUUAUAUGGUCAAGCGAAUAAGCGCACACGGUGGAUGCCUUGGCGGUCAGAGGCGAUGAAGGACGUGGCAGCCUGCGAAAAGCGUGGGGGAGCUGGCAACAAGCAUUGAUCCCGCGAUGUCCGAAUGGGGAAACCCGG
rnacentral:misc_RNA from 1 species